rnacentral:rRNA from 1 species
GGAUGAACGCUAGCUACAGGCUUAACACAUGCAAGUCGAGGGGAAACGAUAGAGAAAGCUUGCUUUUUCUAGGCGUCGACCGGCGCACGGGUGAGUAACGCGUAUCCAACCUGCCCAUCACUUGGGGAUAACCUUGCGAAAGUAAGACUAAUACCCAAUGACGUCUCUAGAAGACAUCUGAAGGAGAUUAAAGAUUUAUCGGUGAUGGAUGGGGAUGCGUCUGAUUAGCUUGUUGGCGGGGUAACGGCCCACCAAGGCGACGAUCAGUAGGGGUUCUGAGAGGAAGGCCCCCCACAUUGGAACUGAGACACGGUCCAAACUCUUACGGGAGGCAGCAGUGAGGAAUAUUGGUCAAUGGACGAGAGUCUGAACCAGCCAAGUAGCGUGCAGGAUGACGGCCCUAUGGGUUGUAAACUUCUUUUAUAAAGGAAUAAAGUCGGGUAUGGAUACCCGUUUGCAUGUACUUUAUGAAUAAGGAUCGGCUAACUCCGUG